GUGCCAGCAGCCGCGGUAAUACAGAGGGUGCAAGCGUUAAUCGGAGUUACUGGGCGUAAAGGGCGCGUAGGCGGUUGUUUAAGUGAGAUGUGAAAUCCCUGGGCUUAACCUAGGAAUUGCAUUUUAGACUAGAUGACUGGAGUACAGUAGAGGGUAGCGGAAUUUCCGGUGUAGCGGUGAAAUGCGUAGAGAUCGGAAGGAACAUCUGUGGCGAAGGCGGCUACCUGGACUGAAACUGACGCUGAGGCGCGAAAGCGUGGGUAGCAAACAGGAUUAGAUACCCUGGUAGUCC
rnacentral:rRNA from 1 species